rnacentral:rRNA from 1 species
GACGAACGCUGGCUGCGUGCUUAACACAUGCAAGUCGAACGGAAAGGCCCCCUUGUGGGGUACUCGAGUGGCGAACGGGUGAGUAACACGUGAGUAACCUACCCUUGACUUUGGGAUAACUUCAGGAAACUGGGGCUAAUACCGGAUAGGAGCUCCUGCUGCUUGUUGGGGGUUGGAAAGUUUCGGCGGUUGGGGAUGGACUCGCGGCUUAUCAGCUUGUUGGUGGGGUAGUGGCUCACCAAGGCUUUGACGGGUAGCCGGCCUGAGAGGGUGACCGGCCACAUUGGGACUGAGAUACGGCCCAGACUCCUACGGGAGGCAGCAGUGGGGAAUAGUGCACAAUGGGCGGAAGCCUGAUGCAGCAACGCCGCGUGCGGGAUGACGGCCUUCGGGUUGUAAACCGCUUUCGCCUGUGACGAAGCGUGAGUGACGGUAAUGGGUAAAGAAGCACCGGCUAACUACGUG